rnacentral:lncRNA from 1 species
ACAUCAUGUCAUUUUCAAGUGUUAAAGGUAAUGUUGUUGCAUGUAUAAUGUAAUAUCUGUGGAAGUAUAUAGUUUAGGCAUUUAUUGCAUUGACGAGUUACAUGAAGGACCAUGGCAUCUUUCUAGUUGGAGAUCAUUGUAUCUUUGCAACUUGUCCAAUCUUCACUCACUUUCAAGUACCACAAGACAGGGAGUGGCAGUUGUCUCCACUAAGACACGACACAGCAUUAUGAGCUGAUGCUACAAUAAAC